rnacentral:rRNA from 1 species
GACGAACGCUGGCGGCGUGCUUAACACAUGCAAGUCGAACGGCAACGCCCUGCUUUUGUGGGGUUCUCGGUUGGCGAACGGGUGCGUAACACGUGAGUAACCUGCCCUUGUCUUUGGGAUAACUUCAGGAAACUGGGGCUAAUACCGGAUCGGAGCUCCUGCUGCAUGGUGGGGGUUGGAAAGUUUCGGCGGGUGGGGAUGGACUCGCGGCUUAUCAGUUUGUUGGUGGGGGAGUGGCUGACCAAGGCUUUGACGGGUAGCCGGCCUGUGAGGGUGACCGGCCACAUGGGGACUGCGAGACGGCCCAGUGGGCUACGUGAGGCAGCAGGGGGGAAUAUGGCCCAAUGAGCCGAAGCCUGAUGCAGCAACGCCGGGUGCGGGAUGACGGCCUGCGGGGUGAAAACAGCUUUCGCCUGUGACGAAGCGGGAGUGAUGGUAAUGGGUAAAGAAGCACCGGCUAACUACGUG